GGAUUUUCUUCUGACCUAAAAUAUGUACAAUUUUGAGAAUUUUGCACACAUCCAUGUAAUCUGUUAUAACCCCAUGGCAGAAGCAACACACUAAUAAAUUUCACAUCAUAUUAAAGGUAGGGAUUAUAGUUUGAUCAUAAACAGGAGAGGAUAAUUUAUUAGUCAGUUAGAAGCAGGGCUUGGAGAGACUGGGGCUGGGUUCUUUGGACGAUUUUGUUUAUCUGGGUGUUUGAGAAGUGCAUUCACAUUUAUCAUGAAGGAUUUCUUUUUCUUCCUCUUUUUCUUUUGAGACAGUGUCUCAGGGAAGAAUCUUUAAACUUUUUGCAUUUAUUUUGGUAAAUGUUUUCUGUAGCUCAUGCACCUAUUAUAAGUUCUCUGAAUGUUGCCAUGGCCUGCUGUGUGUAUGUAUAUACAAAUUACUCCAUGAUACUGGCAUUAUAAAGUGUUGCAAUCAGGGAAGAUGCGAAUGGUGAUUUGGAGACUGUCGUAAAGAGAAAUUCAACCUCCAGUGCAUCAGAGACUUUUUCCCUUGGCCAAACUAACAGGCACGGAUGAAAAACAACAUAAUUAGUUUCAUUGUCAACGUAGACGUAACAGCGACACAAACAGUAUCGAUAGGCAGCUAACUGCUCUGGCUCCCUGCAGAUAGAUGGGUGAUGUAUUAAUUUAUAUUUUUAAGUAAAAGCACUGCUUAAAUCAAGACAGAAAUGGGGUUCCUUAGAGACAGAUGUCCAAAUCUCAGGAAAGGGCCACGGCUGUUGCAAUUUAGUAACUCUAAUUGGCUGGCCCCGCUGCUGGGCUUUGGAGGACGGUAGGGGAGUUCCUUGUGGAGAAGCAAUCCAUCAGACGUGGGGCUGGGUGGAGAAGGACCUAAAAGUCUCCAUCCCCUGGCUUCAGUAAAGGAAUCACUUGAUAGAUUUUUUUUUUUUUAAUUCUGUCAUUGUAUUCUGACUACUCUACUAAAUUAGUUGGAAAGGGCGGGGGUUGUUGAUGCAAGCACUGUUUGGAAGAAGACCAUGAACUUGCAUUAGAUUUUGGCCUCUCAGACACAGUUCAUUUUUGGACCCAUCACGGUGUCCUUUCUCUAGCUGUGUGCAAGCAGCUCAGGGUAAGCAGUUGCUGAGACGCACGUGGGCCAGGGCCCUGUGACCAUAUCUACCUCAUGGCUGUGGCACCAUUCAUCAACAUGUCGAAUAAUGUCAUGAGGGUGUGCUCUUUCUGCCUCUUCCUCUAAUGCGUCUUGUCUCCAGUCCCAGCUCCGAACAGGCAGUAAAACCUUUCACUUUCUUCUCUGUUCAAGGCUGAGGCUCUGCAAAACCAAACAGAAUCCCCAACUCAAGUCCCAGGUGUCUGAUUCGGUGGUUAGAGUUUGGUAUGGGAUCAUAGUAACCUGUUCCUAAGUGCACAGCCGGCUGCACAAUGGACUCAUUUAGCAACUGACAGGUUUCUUAAUAUGUGGUGUUUGAACAAGACUGUGUCUGUUGUGGGUGUUAGGAUGUGGGCAUCACAAAUAUUUUUAAGUACAGUAUUUAUUGUUUCCUUCACUCUUCCUUAAACAAGAGCCACCCCCACCCCUAACUCAGGUAUCCGGUUUGUGUAAUCAUCAACCCCCCUCCCCCCUCCCCCCACCCCCACUCCACCCUUUUUUUUGAUCAUCCAGUGUCUGCUUUGCCUUAUAGAGCUGUGGCGUGAGGCAUGCUUGACUCACAGGGAAGCAAAACCACUCUGCCUUUCCGGGUUUUUGUUUAUUUGUUUUUGUUUUUCUGUUUUGAGACAAAUUGUCAUGGAGCCCAGGCUGGCCUGGAACUUGUUAUACAGUCGACGAUAACCGUGAACUCUUGACUCUACCUCCCAAGUACCGGUAUUAUAGACAUGUUGACCACCAAGCCUGGCUCCCAGAUUACUAAAACUCAGUUUCUUCCUCUGAAAAAUGGGAUGGCAAUUUCCAUUGAAGUUACAAGUGCAUCAGCCUCAGGGGCUGAGUAAGUCAAGCUAACGCCCCCACAAUAAUCCUAAUUAUUUUUCUUCCUCCUUUUUUCCAUUUUCUUUGUCUCUUUGCCCCUGCUUUCCAAAACAGCCUCUUGCUGGAGGUGAUUAAAAAUGGCAGUAACUAUGACUUCUCUGUUAGUGGAAGGUUUAAAAUUUUUAUAUUUUCCUCAAGGCAUAGAAUGUACCAACUCUCCCUGAAUGCUAGUCUCAGGGCCAAAAAUCUUAUGAGGCCACCCUAGGAUUCUCAAAGUUAGCCCAAAUUGUCUCAGGCUCCUACAAAGAAACACAGGUUUCUCCCUGGUGGUGUGAUUCCUUCCCAGAGUUAGCCUCCAAGCCACUGCGCCAUCUAUCUGUUCGGAGAGUGUGGACUGGCCUCCAGGUGGCCUCUGGGCUGUUUGCUAAGCCAUUUCCCUCAGUCUGGUCUAGUAUCCUCUUAUCCAAACCAUCAGCCCUUCACACAUAGCUUCCCCACGGGGGCUUCCCAGCCCUCCCAGUGCUCCCUCCUGCUCUGCAGUCCCAUGGUGCUCCCAGCCACCACUGUGCAAUUUAGCGCUUGCGUUACCAUGAGCAUUGCAUCAGUCUUUAAUUAUUUUGUGUCAGGCCGGCCUCCACAGCUGGGUCCUGAGCGUCUGUAAUGUUGUUGUUUGCCUGUUUGUUUAUUGUUUUGAAGCUCCCGGAGACUCUUAACUGAUAAACGCUGACCUUUGUGGAGGAAGCCCUACUUGUCACAGCAUGCAUGAGUUUUAUGGGUGCCUCCUGCAGAUCUCAGGCUGGAGGAAACACGUCGUUUGUUUCAAGCUCACCUCAGCUUUGUUCACACUCAUAAACUCUCAAUUUAAUUUAUUAAUUUUUUUGUAAAUUACUGUGUUUUAAAAUGGCUGUUUCUACUUUUUGAGGGGUGUUGGUUUGGGGAAAACUUCCUCAAUUUUCAUUUCCUACUUUGGGGCUUCUGCCUGCUCUUCUGGGAAAAAAAAAAACACCCUUUUUUCAAAACUCAAGAGUUCUACUGAUGGAGGAGUUAGGAUGUUCUGGCAGAUUCAAGGCCCUUCUAGAACCCCCAUUCUCAAAGCCACCCAGGUUCUUUAUUGAAUAUUCAUGAAAGGGUGGGGUGACAUUUAUGUGACCCGGAAAAAACAAAGACCAUUAAUAAAUUUGUUAUCUGACAAAGAACACUUCGGGGUGGAGAGUGUUGUGUGCUGAACCCAUUUAACACCUGAAUGGAUGGGGAAGGCAACGGGGCGCUCUUGCAUUUUCCAGCCAGAUUCCUGGGGUGGGAUGGGGAGGGGAUGUCUAUCUCUUGUUGACCUCACUGAAGUUCAGGCGAUUUCUUGAGUAGAAAUAUAUCUGUAUCCUUUCUAGUUUGUAGCAACCUACAUUUAAUGCAUCUCAAAUUGAAAAGAACUUUCAAGUAAAAAGUCUUGGAAUGUACUGGGUUAUACUUUGUUGCUGUUGUUUUUUUUUUUUUUAUGGUUCAUAUUGAGAAAUGGAUAAUCAUUGAUUUCACUAGUAUGUUUCCUGGUUAUUUUCAAGAAAAUAAUAAAAAUUUGUGGGUUGGCUUUGUUUUGUUUUAAUCAAUACACCAACCAGAAAGUUUUUCUCUAAGUUUGGAAAUAGCAGAAUUGAGAGGUGAUUUCUGAAGCAGCUGAUACCUUGUAGGCUAACCUGCCAUUUAAAUCCUGACACUUGAGCCAACAAAGUUUAGCAUUGUUGGUAACUUU
rnacentral:lncRNA from 1 species